UGUGUUGCUCUGUUACCCAGGCUGGAGUGCAGUGGCAAGAUCACAGCUCACUGCGGCCUCAGUCUUCUGGGCUCAAGCGGAUCCUCCUGCUUCAGACUCCAAAGUAGCUGGGACUACAGGAUAAGGCCGCCAGGACUUCACUUUGUGCUACUGCAAGUGCAUCAAAACCAAUAUUGUGUCUUUGGCAUUCGAAUCCAUGAACUUCUGGAAGAGAAACCAAAAAGCCAUGUCAGGUAUGGCUGGAGCCUGCAUUUUCAUUUGGGAGCAGAAGCAUGUCACAUAGUCUUCUAAAAAGAGAAAUUUUGCUUUAAAAAUGACACAACAAAAUAAAAUGCUGACUGAGUCAUGGUAAAAAGCAGUCUUUGAAUUUGAAUAAA
rnacentral:lncRNA from 10 species